UUGAACGCUGGCGGCAGGCCUAACACCUGCAAGUCGCGCGGAUGAAGGGAGCUUGCUCCUGGAUUCAGCGGCGGACGGGUGAGUAAUGCCUAGGAAUCUGCCUGGUAGUGGGGGAUAACGUCCGGAAACGGGCGCUAAUACCGCAUACGUCCUGAGGGAGAAAGUGGGGGAUCUUCGGACCUCACGCUAUCAGACGAGCCUAGGUCGGAUUAGCUAGUUGGUGGGGUAAAGGCCUACCAAGGCGACGAUCCGUAACUGGUCUGAGAGGAUGAUCAGUCACACUGGAACUGAGACACGGUCCAGACUCCUACGGGAGGCAGCAGUGGGGAAUAUUGGACAAUGGGCGAAAGCCUGAUCCAGCCAUGCCGCGUGUGUGAAGAAGGUCUUCGGAUUGUAAAGCACUUUAAGUUGGGAGGAAGGGCAGUAAGUUAAUACCUUGCUGUUUUGACGUUACCAACAGAAUAAGCACCGGCUAACUUCGUG
rnacentral:rRNA from 1 species